GGAGAGGUGGCCGAGUCCGGCUAAAGGCGGCGGUCUUGAAAACCGCAGACGGGGCGACCCGUCCGGGGGUUCGAAUCCCUCCCUCUCCG
rnacentral:tRNA from 1 species